rnacentral:lncRNA from 1 species
ACACCUGAUGCUUCUUUAUAUGUAUAAUGGCUGACCCUGGCGGGACUUCCUUCUCCACUUGUGUGUUGAUGUCCACUGUGGUGGAGGCUUGGCUUCUCUCCAGGUGGAUCCCAGAUGUGCCAAAGUCAGCGCUGCUGAGACUUCUUCCUCGUCAUCUGUAUCGCUGUUGAUAACCAUGGAAGCUUGGCUUUUCUCCAGAGGGACAGCCUGUGGGGCCUUGCCUUCUUCCACAUCUGUAUCACUACCAGCCUGGCUCUCCUGCAGAUGGGCCAGGCCUGGUGCUCCAGGACCCCUUGUACCUACUCCAUGGAAGAUCUUCCUCUUCUUCAUAGGAAUGACAACUGGGGUUGCUGGGAUCCUCUCUUCUUCCGCAUCAGUGUCGCUGUCGAUGAAGCCAAAAGGCUGAGCCCUUUCCAAAUGGACCUCAGCUGGCCUUCCAGGAGGCCUGCUGUCAUCAUCCACAUCUGUGUCACUGUCCUCUCCAGGAGGUUGGCUCCUCUCCAGAAUCACCCCAGCUGGAACCACCCCAUUCCCUGCACCCCUCUUGACUUUUGUAUCAUUGUCCCUCUCCUUCACUAAAGGCUGAUCCUUUUCAAGCUGGAUUUCAGUUACAACUUCAGCUUCAGACUGCUUUGCCUCUACAGUGGCACCUCUUCUGGCAGCUGAGGAGGCCUCCUCUGUGGCUGGUUGCUGACCUUCUUCCACAUCUGUGUCACUGUUCAAAUUGAAGGCAAAAGGCGGCCCAAGGCCGCCCAGGACCGGGGAAUGCCCCUCUUCAUCACUGUGAAGGGAAGAAAAGAGAGUCUAU